CCUCUACCUCCUGGGCUCAAGUGAUCUGCCCACCUCAGCCUCCCAAACUGCUGGAAUUACAGGUAAAAUAAAACAUUUACAUACAGUGAAAUGGACAGAUCUUAAGUGAACGGUCUGAUGAGUUUGGACAUAGACAGGCACCUGUGUAACCCACCCCUGCAACAAGAUACAGAACAAUAUCAUCAUCCUAGAAAGCCUCCCUGUGCCCCUUUCCAGUCGGUCCCUGCCCCAGCUCUCAGAGAUUGAAAGUUCCCUGAGGACGGAGGACCCCAGUGUUAACCUGUCUUGUUCAUGCUGAAUCUCCAGCAGUAACAGUGCCUGGAACAUAAUAGAUGCUCAAUAAAUAUUU